AUCCCUCCCCUCACAGCCCCAUAUCUCUGAGCUGGUCGGAUUCAUUCGGGGGGCUGCGUGGAGGGGGGGAAACUAUUGAAAUUACAACUGGUUUUCCCAAACAGGUGUAUCCACCAGCCACCGUAUAGGAGGCGUAGAACACUCUGCACCCUUUGCUGCAGUGGCCCCCAUCAAAAAGCCGUCCCGAUGCGCACCCCCCACGCAGACAGAACAUCCCUCCCCCAGAGGCCCGCGACAGACGUCUCCGCUGAAACCAGGGGCCAGUCCGGAGGCCAGGUGGCAAGGGAGAGAACCGUGACAUCAGCGCUGCUGUCAAGGAGCCUGCACAGGCGGAUCUCUGACGGUGUCGCACCAGGGAUGGACAGGGUACACAGCAUCUCGGGACGGUCUUUGGUCAGGACAGCAGUCCAGUGAACUUGAGGCGGCCCAGUGGAUCCAAAACCGCCAUCACCUCGCAACCGGUCAGCCGUCCUGCGAACAGAAGACUUAAAAGGCACAAGUUGAGCAAGCUGUGUCCCUUUCGGGAUCGUAACAGGGGGGUGGGUGUGGAAACCAUCGCAAAAAUCUGUGAAGUCUGCAUCAAUGAGACCCAGGUGCACAAUGACACCCUGAAGGGUGGCACUAGACCUCCCCAUGAGGAAGGCGCUCAUGCCUAGGUCUGCACAGACCACUGCCAUCUGUGAGAGUGUAGCCCCUUCAGGAAGAGCCUGUAUGACUCUCUUGCAUUCUGCGUUGCAGUGGAUCCUAGCAAAUCUCGCAAGGACCAUUUGCCUUAGCUCAGGUUCUACCACCUGCCGCUCUACUGAGGCAGUCAACCUCGAUGCAAAGUCCAUGAACGACUCAUCGGCCCUUUGAACAACAGUCAGAAAGGGUUCCAUCGGAGCAGCCAUUUCUAAGGUCUGGAUCACAGCUGCAAAGCCUAACGUCCUGCACUGCUCAAGCACGAGAGGAUUGUAUCCAGCCUGCCCCUGAGGAUCAACAUAAUUGCCUGUGCCCAUCAACAUGUCAGCAGUAGCUACACGUCUGGGAUCCUGCUGCCCCCGCGUAGCAUUCUUCCGUACUGCAUUGGCCACUAAAACAGCCCACUUGUCCUCAAACACGUCAAAUUGUACAGGGUUAAAAAGAGCCUGAGCCACAGAACGAAUAUCAGAAGGCGUCAGCAGGUCAGCAACAAGUAAUCGGAUCGUCUGCAUAACGUCAUCAGACCCAACACCAUACUGUGCAACGGUGUCUUGGAUUUCCUUCAACACCUUAAAUGAAAAGGGCGGCCAAGUGGAGGGUUCCAGGUCGUCUGCCGACCCCGCCGCGUGACUGACAGAUGGUCUGAGAUGUAAUACACAGUGACUUGGCACUUUCCCGGGAAGGCAAACCGCGGGGACAGAUGGGAAAACCCGGGGGCUCGCUACAGAGCGCGAGGGGGUACAUGGAACGAACUUAUACAUAAUAAAACAUAUAAUAACACAA